AAAUUUCAGUAUACAUAACCAGUCUUCCUUUUGUGUUUUCUUCAGGGUGACUGUAUUUCCUGGGAAUCUCACUUUUGAUAUCUUAAUCAUAGCAAAGCUCAAGGCUUACAAUCUCUCCUAGAAUAUGUCAAUCUUUCAUUUGUCACAGUUAGGAGAAUUUGGAUUCUGGACCUUUCUAGUGGUUUCUCUAAUUUGGAUUCUUUCAUGUCUUAACUCAUUUUCCUAAUUGAGAAAAGUUCACCAUUGAUAAAUUUAUUUGAAAAUUCGAAGUUCCUUUUAUGGAGAAGGCUUUUGCUUGGACUGAGGGAUUGAAUGGAAUCAAUAGUAGUGAUUCUUGCAUGAUCAAAUCUGAUGUAGUUAUAUUUUUAAUUUUACAUUGUUUGAUUGCUAAUCUUUUGUAGAAUAGCUAUGAAGCAUGGAUACCUCUUUUGUUCAAAGUGUUGCCAUGUUGGGCAAAUUCAUCUGAGGAAACACCUGUUUUGUCACCUUUAGUCCCAGUUUCAUUAUUGGGUAGUUCAAAAGGUGAAGACCAGAAGCAGAAAGUUGUUACUAAGCAAGUAAAAGUUCAAGCGGUAUUAAAGGCAAUAAAACAUAGUCCAAAGAAGGUCAACUUGGUUGCUGCUCUGGUUCGUGGUAUGCUUGUUAAAGAUGCAUUGAUGCAGUUGGAAUUGACAAUAAAACGAGCAGCAAAAACUGUAUAUCAGGGAAUUCUGAUCUCAAAUUGUCCACGGCUAUGCAGCGAAAUUCUUGACAAGUUGAACCACCCUUUUCUACCUGCAUUAUCUAUAUGCUUCCUUCCAGACCAAAACUCACGUUUGUUUGAUUACUAAUUAUUGUCCUGGAGGAGAACUAUUCCUGCUUCUUGAUCGGCAAUUCUGAGUUACCCAAUUCCGAGGAGAACUAUGUCCUGAAAGAGGAAUGCCGAGCUUCAAUUCUGAGUUACCCAAUUCCAAUUCAUGGGUUGAGGAUGUUGCAAGAGUCUGGGAUCCUUGCUGACCAGUACCCAGGGUUGAGGAUGUUACCAAGAGUCGAAGACCGUUGCUGCUAGAAUGUCAAGGUAAAGAGAAAUGUUGUUAGUUAGUAUCCUUUUAAGGUAAAAAAAAAAAGGAAGAUUUUACGUAUAAGCGGAGCUGCACAAAGGUACGUAGCAUUUAUGAUUUAACUGUUUGUUGGGUUGACUUGGUUUUCUUCAGUUUUGUAGAAGGUACUAAGAUGUAGGCAUGCUAGAUCCUUAUUGCUUGACUGUUGACUGUCCAAGCAUUCUGGUAAUACUGAUUUGAUAUGGCUUAUACUUAUUUCAAGCUUUCUGGUAAUACUCAUUUCAUAACGGCACUUAAAAUUUUUUCAGUUGGAUGGAAAGGCUACUUGUGUUUUACUGAUUUCAUAUGGCUUAUACUCAUUUCAUAUGAAAUUAACAAAUAUCUAGAAAUUUUGUUAAUGAAAGUCCGAUGACAUUUUAAAUCCAAUGUACAUCAUUCCACAGGAGACAAAGCUAUUGAUAUAAGGAGUAAGCACUACAUAGUAUAACCUAGGAUACAAAGCUAUUGAUAUUAGGAGUAAGCACUACACAUUGUGCUAUGAGGAGCACUUCAUGGAACAAGAAAGAAUUGCAAUAAAAUUCCAUUCUUAGCAUGUAAGUCACUUUUCUGAUCCAUUCUAUGUUAGUAUCACAUCACAACGUAGUCUGUAAUACAGAUGAAUAGGAAAGCAGGUAACUUAAUUUCCCAAAUGCUAGAGAGUUGGAAAAUUUAGGGCUGGCUCACCUUUGUCUAGGAAGAAAAUGGCAUUCUUACUUUUAAGUAUGCAAGAUGUUAUACAUAAAUAAUAACUCCAAAGAAAUACCUUUAAGAUCUCAAUGUUUGUUAAUUCAUUCGCCCUGUCGCUAAGCAAUCUUAGCAUCUGAAUAAACCUCUCAGCGUACAGAUUCACCAUUAGCUGGAAUAUGUCGUAUCUGCCUGAAUUAGAACAAAUAAAACAUGUACAUAAAGAAACCCUCUACCAAUAAACACUUGUUUAGAUUAAGUGAAAUGUGUAGUUUGACUCAGAUAGGCUCAAGCAUGGGUUUAGAAGAAAUUUCAAUUGUUGAAAUGUAUAGUAAGUCGUUCAUCUAGAGACAACAUAACAAAGUCACAAAUUUAUGCUGAAGAGGUCAUUUAAGUCUGCAAUAUUGAUAAAUGAAUGAUAACAAAUUCUCUCCCCAAAUCAUUUCUAAGAGAUUUAAAGAGGAUUAGGUGAUUGAAAAGCGUAGUAAAUUCAGUUUCAGAUGGCAAGUUUUCAAAAUUUCAUGACUCCUGACUGUGUGAACUGUGACUCCAUUUUGUAUAGUGCGUACUUAAGGUAAGGUUCAUAAUUUUUUAUAAUAUUUGUAGAUGGGGUGAUUCUUUUAAUUAUUUGUGAAAAAAUAAAUCAAAAGUCUAAGAAGAGAUUACUUUGUCUAUCCUAGUAAUUAUUUGUGAAAAAAUAUUCUUGUUAUAGCCUUUCUCUCAAUUCCCUUGCUCAAAAUAUGAACAAAACAAUACAGAUGAGUUGUGUAACUUUAUAAGUCAUCGGUAUUUGAAUUUUAAAGUUCUUCAGUUUCUUAUUAGUUGUUACAUGUCUGGAACCGGCACAGUGGGCAUAAGGAUCUGAAAUCUGGUGUAACUAAAUUAGAGUAUUCUUCAUCCAUCUAGUUUAGCUUGAAGUUGGAAGUAACUUCCAAAGGCACCAGGGUAGAGACAAAUUUGCAUCAAUGCAUGGCAUCUAGCAUAAGUACUUCUCUAUACAGUUUACUGUUUUGCAUCAAUGCAUGACAUCUAGCACAAGUAAACUUCUCUAUACAGUUACUGUGUUGUAUACUCUUUCUCAGUGCAUGAAGGCAAAAAUUGGAAUUUACUGUUUCUUGCUUUAUUUCAUCUGUAGAUGAGGACACCACAUCUAUAAAUUGAAGUUCUUGCAGAGUUAUAUGCAAACCAAUGAGGUUGUGAGGACCAUUGUUAUAUGAAAGUUGAGAAUUUGUGCAGGCUUUCAAGUAGAGGUUUUUUCUUGAUCAUUGGGGAUAGAUCACAAUAAGUAGAUAUGAAGUUCAUGAAACUUGGAACAAGGCCAGAUACUUUCUACAGUGAACAAGCUACCAGAUGAUAUGGAGGAGAGAGAGCCGCUAAAAUUCCCGACAAAAUAUAACAUUCAAACGGGCAAGAGGUGGCUGAUUCAGGGUAGCCAGUCAAGGGAUUCAUUGGUGUUAAUUUAAGUAUCAUUUUAAUCAUUUUUAGAUUUUUAGAUUCUUAAAAGGGAGUAUAGAUGUUUUGUGUUUUACAUUUUUAGUACAAUUAAUGUGUAAGCCUGACUGAGUAAGGCUUUGUUUGUUAUUGUUCUUGUUGUUGUUUGUCGUGAGUGAUCCGUGUUUGGUAGAUUGAUGAAUUUCAGUUGCCUGCUGAUCUGUGUAGUUAAUGUCAUCCGGUAAGAUAAAUAAAAGUUGUGUUGUUGUGUGUGGUAGAGUAAUUGGUGUAAGUGAUUUUUGUGGUGAAAGUUUUGUAGCUCUGGCUAGUGUACAUACUUUUUGUUUUAGUUUCUGAAUUUUGAAGUGUGACCAGGUGGUUUAAGUGAACUUGUGUAAGUGAUGUUUUGGGGCAAGUGUUCCUGAAUUCUAAACGCUAGUUUAGUAUUGAGUUUGAGGAAUGAAUACUGGUUUAAGUGCAUGUUUUAUGUCUCACCUUGUGCCUGUUUUAAACCAUUUAUUGACUACUUAUUUUGUUCUCCAGAUUGUUUAGGUAGGCGGUUGGGACCGAGGCUUCUUGGGAGGGCUGAUGAUUCAGGGGUAAAUAACAAGUUGGUCAAUGCUUUAUUAUUUUGGUUGUCUGUGCAAGAUUUACAUACAGAACUACUUCAUACCAGGAUCCUGUUGUAGAGGUAAAUUAGUUAUUACCCUUACAUACAUAACUAUAGUUAUUGAUUAUUAUUUUGGUAAAACGUAUUUGGCCGCCGUUCAUGUUGUAAUCAUCCUUGAAGGCCAAACUGAACCCUAGCCUUCUCAUCUUGUAAGCUUUAUUUUUUCCUCUCUCUUUGAUUUUUCUAUGUGUUUCGUUUUCCCCUCUCUUUGCUACCUCUGUGGUUGGAGAUACAACAUUCUUGCAGUGUUCAGUUAGUAGCUUCUGAAUUCUGAUAUUGAUCACUUGCAGUGUUCAUGUUGCCUCUGUAGUUUUAGAGAUAUUUGUUAUUAUGCAUAAUUUAUUUUUCUUUAAAUUCAUCAGAUCUAUCUUCUUUCCCUCACUCCUAUGUUGGAAAUAGAAGUCCUGUAAAGCUGUUUAAUCUGUUUGCAUGCUCCUGAUUAUGAGAUGUAUACUGAAAUUAUAACCUAGAUUAACUAUGAACGUGCUGAUAUAAUCAUCUUGAAAUUGAAGAUGACCAUAGCAAGUUGUAAUUCAUUGUGAUCAAGGAUCAUGUGAAUGAUUUGAAUAUUUCCUCUACUUCCAGUGAGCCCUGAUUGUCUUCUCCAGCAAAGCUCAACUGUAGAAGAUUCAAUUUCUUUCAAAUUUUCUGAUGGUAUAACUGAAUCAGUUCCAUGCUCAUACACUGAAUUUGCCAAGCGACUGGUGUUGCCGCAGUAUAAAAAUUUACCUGACACAGUGGUUAAAGAGUUCCAUAGAAGAGAUGGUUUUGAGGUAGCAAGUGCUGACAAGAUGGCUAAGUCAUGCAUGGUUUAUUUUGAAAUGCAUCUAUCCCUAAGGAAAAAAAUAAUUACAAAAGCUUUUCAUGGUAGUUAUAGUAUCUACAAGGAAACUUUUUGUAACCAGGUCUAUUGCCUUUUUGUUUGAGUAACUGGACAUGCAGGUACGAUAAUUGGUAAUGAAGAUAUCGAUAGUAUUAGGUGGCUAGGUUCUGCAUGGAGACGUCUCAAGGGGUUUUAAGGUUUUCAUGUUUUGUUGAGGUGCAGGGGAAUUGAUGAUGUGGUGGUGAGAAUGAUGUAUGGGGAGUACAACUACCAGGAGGAUUGUUGUUGUUGAAGAUGACAAGGGAGCUGAAAGGGGAAUGUCGAGCUUCAAUUUUGAGUUACCCAAUUCCAAUUCAUGGUCAAGGUAAAGAGAAAAGUUAGUUAGUAUCCAUUUAAGGUAAAAAAAAAAAAGGAAGAUUUUACGUAUAAGCGGAGCUGCACAAAGGUACGUAGCAUUUAUGAUUUAACUGUUUGUUGGGUUGACUUGGUUUUCUUCAGUUUUAUAGAAGGUACUAAGAGGUAGGCAUGCUAGAUCCUUAUUGCUUGACUGUUGACUGUCCAAGCAUUCUGGUAAUACUAAUUUCAUAUGGCUUAUACUCAUUUCAAGCUUUCUGGUAAUACUCAUUUCAUAACGGCACUUAAAAUUUUUUCAAUUGGAUGGAAAGGCUACUUGUGUUUUACUGAUUUCAUAUGGCUUAUACUCAUUUCAUAUGAAAUUAACAAAUAUCUAGAAAUUUUGUUAAUGAAAGUCCGAUGACAUUUUAAAUCCAAUGUACAUCAUUCUACAGGAGACAAAGCUAUUGAUAUAAGGAGUAAGCACUACAUAGUAUAACCUAGGAUACAAAGCUAUUGAUAUAAGGAGUAAGCACUACACAUUGUGCUAUGAGGAGCACUUCAUGGAACAAGAAAGAAUUGCAAUAAAAUUCCAUUCUUAGCAUGUUAGUCACUUUUUUGAUCCAUUCUAUGUUAGUAUCACAUCACAACGUAGUCUGUAAUACAAAUGAAUAGGAAAGCAGGUAACUUUUUUUUUAUCAGG